rnacentral:tRNA from 1 species
UCUCUGGUGGCUCAGUGGUAAAGAAUCUGCCUGCAAAGCAGGAGACCCAGGUUCGAUCCCUGGGUGGGGAA